GAUGAACGCUAGCGGCGGGCCUAAUACAUGCAAGUCGAACGAGAUUAUUGGUAGCAAUACUGAUAUGAAAGUGGCGCACGGGUGCGUAACACGUAUGUAACCUACCUUUAACUGGGGAAUAGCUUCGAGAAAUCGAAAUUAAUACCCCAUAACAUUUAGAAAAGGCAUCUUUUCUUUAUCAAAGUUCAGGCGGUUAAAGAUGGACAUGCGGUGCAUUAGCUUGUUGGUGAGGUAAUGGCUCACCAAGGCUACGAUGCAUAGGGGGUCUGAGAGGAUGAUCCCCCACACUGGUACUGAGACACGGACCAGACUCCUACGGGAGGCAGCAGUAGGGAAUAUUGGGCAAUGGACGAAAGUCUGACCCAGCCACGCCGCGUGAAGGAUGACUGCCCUAUGGGUUGUAAAACUUCUUUUGAUGGGAAGAAACCUCCGAACGUGUUCGGAGCUGACGGUACCAUAAGAAUAAGCAUCGGCUAAC
rnacentral:rRNA from 1 species